rnacentral:rRNA from 1 species
ACUCCUACGGGAGGCAGCAGUAGGGAAUCUUCCACAAUGGGCGCAAGCCUGAUGGAGCGACACCGCGUGAGUGAAGAAGGGUUUCGGCUCGUAAAGCUCUGUUGUUAAAGAAGAACACGUAUGAGAGUAACUGUUCAUACGUUGACGGUAUUUAACCAGAAAGUCACGGCUAACUACGUGCCAGCAGCCGCGGUAAUACGUAGGUGGCAAGCGUUAUCCGGAUUUAUUGGGCGUAAAGAGAGUGCAGGCGGUUUUCUAAGUCUGAUGUGAAAGCCUUCGGCUUAACCGGAGAAGUGCAUCGGAAACUGGAUAACUUGAGUGCAGAAGAGGGUAGUGGAACUCCAUGUGUAGCGGUGGAAUGCGUAGAUAUAUGGAAGAACACCAGUGGCGAAGGCGGCUACCUGGUCUGCAACUGACGCUGAGACUCGAAAGCAUGGGUAGCGAACAGGAUUAGAUACCCUGGUAGGAUAGCG